UCCUAAGCCUUCCACCAUAUCUUAACAUCAUAUCGACGUGGAUGCUUCGUUGUCUCAUCUUCAUAUGAUGAUGCCUAAAAAGUGUAAACGCUUCACAUAAAUGAACAAUCAUAAUAUUUGAAACAAGAAUUUUAUAAAUACAGAAAAGCAUUCUGACACGUCUACUAUAUUCUUUGUAUGACAACUGGAAUCUGUCCAAGGAAUCUCUAUCUAGAUAGAUAACUCUCAUGAGACAAAAAGAAAUGCACAUGGAGUAGAGAGAACCCCAUUUAAACAAAAGUAUACAAAUUAAGCUAUUAUGACUUAUGAGUUCUCCCUUUCAUCAGCUGGUUAUCCCAGUGCAUCUUUUAUAUUACAUAUUUUGCAGUCUCUUCAGUCAUUAUAGUGGAUAAUAGAUAACGUGCGGGCAGGUCAUAACAUCUUCUCUCCUGGACAGCUUCCUGUGUGAAACUUCAAAUUCAUUAACUACAAAGUACACAUCGCGUGCGCGUAUGAAAGUUUUAGACCAAUUAAAGACACGCACCCCAAAAGUGAAGGACGCACCCCAAAAUUUAACCAAUUUGUCUUGGGGUACUGCGAAAUAAGAGGACGAGUACCACAACAAAUUGGUUAUCACCGAUGGCUACAGAUAUUGACUGAUCAGGGUGUGAGACUUUACCCCCUUGUGCCUUCUGUUGAAUGGCCUCCAUUACUGACGGUCUGACACUUUUAGAUUAUAUUUGAGCUGAAUGAGCUUCUAGCCUAAUACUCUUGAUCCUGGUUCUAAGGAGUAACCCCGACGGCAUUGUAGUUUUUCGUUUUUCAUCAAUUGUAUGUGUUAACAAAAGGUGAAUGCUCCCUCGAAGUUUGCUUUAUAGAUAGUAGUGAAAUUCAUUUUAUACAUUAAGCAAUGAGAAAUGGGCAGUCUCAUAGUAUUAGGGACUACAUAAGGGACAAAAAACUAUCACAUACUUGGGUACUAUAGGCUUUCCAUGACAUAUCGUUUUCAAAAAUACAAUGUAUACAAACACGAAUGUUCUCACAAGACCGGUGCUUUCUUGGGCCUAACAGUUGCAUAAUGUCGCAUGUCGUCUUCAGGUUUUGUUAAAUGCACAUGACGAUGGUGCAUUACGGAUCAAAUCUUUUACAUUCUACUAUGGAGUUUCCUCAUUUAGUCAUAAUAAUUCAACUUAGAAAAAAAAAAAAAAAAACUCACAUCUGCACCAAGAUAGCAUAUAGAUCACCGAAGAAGUGAGAGCAGUACCACAGAAAGCUGAUCUUCCAACACCUUAACGAUAAGUGGCUCCAUGUGUUUCCCUCCCAAUAUCUUCACAAUCGUCGUC
rnacentral:lncRNA from 1 species